UACGUAGGGGGCGAGCGUUGUCCGGAUUUAUUGGGCGUAAAGAGCUCGUAGGCGGCUUAGCAAGUCGGGUGUGAAAACUCCAGGCUCAACCUGGAGACGCCACUCGAGACUGCUAUGGCUAGAGUCCGGUAGGGGACCACGGAAUUCCUGGUGUAGCGGUGAAAUGCGCAGAUAUCAGGAGGAACACCGGUGGCGAAGGCGGUGGUCUGGUCCGGUACUGACGCUGAGGUGCGAAAGCGUGGGGAGCAAACAGG
rnacentral:rRNA from 1 species